GCGCCGGUGGUGUAAAGGCGUAGAGCAUUCUAGCCCGGUCAGAGGGAGGUGCGGGUUCGAGUCCCGCCUGGCGCU
rnacentral:tRNA from 1 species